rnacentral:rRNA from 1 species
UACGUAGGGUGCGAGCGUUAAUCGGAAUUACUGGGCGUAAAGCGUGCGCAGGCGGUCUUGCAAGACAGUGGUGAAAUCCCCGGGCUCAACCUGGGAACUGCCAUUGUGACUGCAAGGCUGGAGUACGGCAGAGGGGGAUGGAAUUCCGCGUGUAGCAGUGAAAUGCGUAGAUAUGCGGAGGAACACCGAUGGCGAAGGCAGUCCCCUGGGCCUGUACUGACGCUCAUGCACGAAAGCGUGGGGAGCAAACAGG